ACAUAGCCCAAAGGUGACUUGAGAACUCUGUAGUGGGGUUGAUCACCAUGUGUAUCACAGGUCAGAAAGACUUCAUGAAGGAGAUGCAACUGAAGAUAAGCCUGAGAUUCAAUAGUAACUUCACAAGAGGAGGUGGGGUACUAUCUGCUAGGUAACAUAAGGGGUGUAUGGGUGUUUAGAAAUGUGACCAGCACUGUGCAUAGAACACACAAAUGUCCAACUGAGAGACCGAUAGGUUUCAGUGGUAUACCGGAUCAUCAAGAAAGUUAAAAUGGAUGUGACUGAUUAGGGAAGGGACCUAGCAGGCUCUUUUAUCUUGUGGAAAGGCUCUUAACAAACCUCUGAGGAACAUAACAUUACUUCAUAGAUAUGAGAAUGAGAUUUUGGAGGGCUAUGAUAACUUUAAAAUUCAGACAGCUAAGAAAUCAAAGAGCAAAAAUUGAAAUACAGAUCUCUUUGAUUCCAAAAUUUCAAUUUACUCUAAAUUAAUCUGAGCAAUAAGAAACUGGGAAAAUCUAGGGAAACACAUGAAAUACAUUUGAGAAGAAUCAAUAUGAUCAAUGAAAGGUGUUUGUCCUGCAGUUCUACUUCCUUUCUUGCUGUUACCCAUGGUCCAUUUAUUUGUCUUAUUAUAAAUAGUGCNNNNNNNNNNNNNNNNNNNNNNNNNNNNNNNNNNNNNNNNNNNNNNNNNNNNNNNNNNNNNNNNAGGGAAAUAGAAAGUUUUCUGGUAAUCAAGGUGGAUUAUAAACUGAGUAUAGAUUAAGUGGCUUUGGGGAUUUAGAAUAAUUACCAGAUAUAGAGAAAGGAGAGUAGAGACUUUCCUUGAAAGAUACCUAGAUCUGUACCAGAUGGGCAAGGAAAGGCUUCCCCCAAUCAAAGUUCCAGAGUACUCUGAAGCCUGGACCCAAAGGAGCAGAAAUACUCACCAAAGAUCAAGAAGAAAAACAGGGCCAUGUCCCAGAUGGCUGAAGACAGUGAACUGAAAUGUAAGGCUGGAAGGAGGCCCCACAACAGGAAUAUGCAGCUUUGGUUGCAAGUGUGCUGUGAGGAGGGAAGGAGGCAGGUCCUGUCUGUAGUAGAGGAUUUAUCAGACAACCAAAAAUCAAUGGGCUCAAAGGUCAGGACUGAUAGAGCUGGACUUGCUGAAUUCAGCAUGUCCCAGAGGAAGGGAGGUGGCCGGAAUUGGCAGAAAGAUGAUGAAAACAAAAGAAAACAAACAAACAAAACAAAAAACCCCAAGCUGCUGUGCUUUGGUUCUGCUGUAAUCCCAGCUCCAUCGAGCUCUGCUUUAGUCCCCUCACUAUGCAAACAAGGAAAACAAUGCACAUAAGGAAAGGCAAGCACCAAGAAUAAGGGCCAUUUCACAUUAGAAGGUCAAGCAAUACUUGAUCCUCAUGUAUGGUUUGUGGGGGUUAAUUAGCCAAUUUCAAUUCUUU
rnacentral:lncRNA from 1 species